UACGGAGGAUGCGAGCGUUAUCCGGAUUUAUUGGGUUUAAAGGGUGCGUAGGCGGGCUUUUAAGUCAGCGGUAAAAAUUCGGGGCUCAACCCCGUCCGGCCGUUGAAACUGGGGGCCCUGAGUGGGCGAGAAGAAGGCGGAAUGCGUGGUGUAGCGGUGAAAUGCAUAGAUAUCACGCAGAACCCCGAUUGCGAAGGCAGCCUUCCGGCGCCCUACUGACGCUGAGGCACGAAAGUGCGGGGAUCGAACAGG
rnacentral:rRNA from 1 species